rnacentral:rRNA from 1 species
GACGAACGCUGGCGGCGUGCUUAACACAUGCAAGUCGAACGGAAAGGCCCUGCUUUUGUGGGGUGCUCGAGUGGCGAACGGGUGAGUAACACGUGAGUAACCUGCCCUUGACUUUGGGAUAACUUCAGGAAACUGGGGCUAAUACCGGAUAGGAGCUCCUGCUGCAUGGUGGGGGUUGGAAAGUUUCGGCGGUUGGGGAUGGACUCGCGGCUUAUCAGCUUGUUGGUGGGGUAGUGGCUUACCAAGGCUUUGACGGGUAGCCGGCCUGAGAGGGUGACCGGCCACAUGGGGACUGAGAUACGGCCCAGACUCCUACGGGAGGCAGCAGUGGAGAAUAUUGCACAAUGGGCGGAAGCCUGAUGCAGCAACGCCGCGUGCGGGAUGACGGCCUUCGGGUUGUAAACCGCUUUCGCCUGUGACGAAGCGUGAGUGACGGUAAUGGGUAAAGAAGCACCGGCUAACUACGUG